rnacentral:rRNA from 1 species
GACGAACGCUGGCGGCGUGCUUAACACAUGCAAGUCGAACGGAGAGGCCCCAGCUUGCUGGGGUACUCGAGUGGCGAACGGGUGAGUAACACGUGGGUGAUCUGCCCUGCACUCUGGGAUAAGCCUGGGAAACUGGGUCUAAUACCGGAUAGGACCGUGCUUUAGUGUGUGCGGUGGAAAGUUUUUCGGUGCAGGAUGAGCCCGCGGCCUAUCAGCUUGUUGGUGGGGUAAUGGCCUACCAAGGCGGCGACGGGUAGCCGGCCUGAGAGGGUGUACGGCCACAUUGGGACUGAGACACGGCCCAGACUCCUACGGGAGGCAGCAGUGGGGAAUAUUGCACAAUGGGCGCAAGCCUGAUGCAGCGACGCCGCGUGGGGGAUGACGGCCUUCGGGUUGUAAACCCCUUUCGGCAGGGACGAAGCUUUUGUGACGGUACCUGCAUAAGAAGCACCGGCUAACUACGUG